rnacentral:rRNA from 1 species
AUGGCCGACAAGGAGGAGUUUGCGCUGAAGCCCUGCACCGCCACCAAUUCAAGGGCGGGCGGAUCAGGAGCUUCGAUGGCCCCAGAUGGUUUCUCGGAGGCGUUCCAUGGAGAGCAAACUGGAGCCAAGAGGAAGGGGCGGAAGCGGAGGGCCGGUUGCAAGGGGUCUGCCACGAAGACGAAGGGAGAGGAGACGGCUGACCAGACCGCGAUGACCAAGAUGGCUGCUCUGGCUGAGAAGGCGACGAUGCCGGUGGCGGCUGACGAGACGGCAGAGAAGCAGGAGCAGGAGGAGGACUUUGACAAGAUCCUUGAAAAGGCCAAAGCAGAAUACGCUCAGCUUAUGGACAAUCUGUUUGGUGGUGGCCAGCCAAAGGUGAAGUGGGUGAGGUAUCCCUCGUACAUGUCGUAUCCAGGUAUGGAGGCCGACAUGGAGGCUGAUGGUCUCAAAUUUGAUGAGGAGGUUGAGCGAUAA